rnacentral:misc_RNA from 1 species
GAUGAAGAACGUAGCGAAACGCGAUAGUUAAUGUGAAUUGCAGAAUUCAGUGAAUCAUCGAAUCUUUGAACGCACAUUGCGCCCGCCAGCAUUCUGGCGGGCAUGCCUGUUCGAGCGUCAUUUCAACCCUCGACCUCCCUUUGGGGAAGUCGGCGUUGGGGACCGGCAGCACACCGCCGGCCCUGAAAUGGAGUGGCGGCCCGUCCGCGGCGACCUCUGCGUAGUAAACCAACUCGCACCGGAACCCCGACGUGGCCACGCCGUAAAACACCCAACUUCUGAACGUUGACCUCGAAUCAGGUAGGACUACCCGCUGAACUUAAGCAUAUCAAUAAGCGGAGGA